CCCUUUCUUCCUCACUUCUAUUACACACAUUUAUUCCACCAAUCAGUCACUUUUGGUCUGUUUGCAGCACAACUCUCCAGCAUCAGAAUUAUUUUUUUGGGGUUUAGACUGAAGGUGAUCACUGUCAAACUGUCUUAUUGAAAGAAAAAUAUUUUUGCUUUCAUGGUCAUGAAUUCUUGAAAUUCCAGUUCAACCCCUAGUUGCACCUCAUUGUCAAAUGUGUAUUCACUGAUUAACCACCCCACCCACUUCCUCCACCUGGCCUGCCACCACUAAACCAUAUUAAACCAAGCAGAAUGAAAGAGAGGAACUUGAAUCUGUGUGAUAAGAACGUAUCUUCAUUUUAUAAAAAGUUUUCAGUUGCAAACCGAACUAUAUAUAUAUAAACAUGUAUAUUUAAAAUGACUAUUUUGGGCGUCAACUACAAGCACAUAAAGAAUGAAUAUAUGGCCCCUGUGUAAAAAUGGGUGAACCAACCCGUUAUUUAAUCAUUCCCGGGUCCCAUCCAUCCCUGUUUAAGGAUCUGUAUCCGCUCCAACAGAAAAGGUCUAUUAAACCUUGUCCAUCCUUAUCCUCAUCCAAAACAAUUACAAUGUAUCCUCUCAGUUACAGAGCAAAACAGAGAUCUGAACUCAGAUGUAGAGUCGCCAUGUUGACACCAGACAUUCCAAAAGGAUUUUAUUCCAUUCCAUGUUGCAAAUAAUCAUUGUCCUGUUGUGGAAUGUCUAGUUCCAGCGGGGAAAACAAAAUACCAAAUGUCUGUGUCCUUCACAGUAUUCACCACCAACCUACUGCUCCUUUGUCUUCCCAGAUAGUCAUGUAGUAUCUGUUUGCUCAACACCACAGCACAACCUCACCACUGACUGUACAUCACUGUCACAGUCUCAACCAACUAAAUCUCAGAUGACUUCAUGAAAAUGUAUUGAACCUCAGCCUGUCAACUUCAGGUGUUGAGACAAAGGAGAGACGGAUGGGUUUGAUGUGUCCAAUAUGACCAUUAUAUUAUUCAGCGACAUUAUUCACCGUAAUGUCAUGAAACCAUCUAGUUUUAACGUAUAAUCACCCUCGACUGGAUAGAUCUGCUUAUGUACCAGCACCACAGAGCUCAAAUCAAAGUGGUAUCACAGUAUAUUCGUCACUCUGGUGUUUCCUCCAGAAAAAGUCUUGAUGAAUGAAUUACCUUAAUUAUCAAAACAUCCUUCCGAUAUGGCCUGUAGUAGUUUGGAUGAAGGUUUUGCAGAUCCAGGUACAAUGGGCCUCAGCAUCUGGCUUCCUCGGUUCCUCAGAGCCGCCAUGUCCCCUGUAACGUGCUGCGAGUGAUCCUCAUGCAUGUUCCUCGCUCGACCCUUCCCCUUCAGAAUUGCUUCACACUUUUAUGUUGUGCUAUGCAAUACCUGUCAAAAUGUUGGACACACACGUGUCCAAACUCUUGACUGCUGCUGUAUGUUUCGCUCAUCCUCACUUCACGCCUCCAUUCAUUCCAGCCCAGUGUGCUCCCAGUCCCCCUGCCUCCCCGACCAGCCUGGCCACUCCCCCCUCCUCCGCUGACUUCCCCCGACCCCGCCCACAUCAUGAAGGUGUGAGUCUGUGAAGGUGAGUUCCCGCCCACCAACCACACCUACCUACCCCCUGACCAACCCCGCCCCCUCUCUCGUCUCCUCCUCCUAACUCACGACCUCUCCGGCACCUCCUUGGUUUGGGCCGAGCUCUCUGUUUUUCCCUCAGGUGAUCUUUAACAUCGCUCUUUUAUUGCUACUUUUUACUGCUAUAUGCUUUGCAAAAUGUAUUUACUUACUAAAAAGUGGAGUUUGCUCUCAACGGACAUCGUACCAAAAUAAUUGUAUGUAUCUCACUAAAAGGCCUUUUCCUAGAUAUUGUUAUCCUUUUAAGGUGUGGAAAAAGAUGGACCUAUACAAUUACAGCAGUGACCUAUCUCUUUAAAUGUUUUGGAUGCAUACCAUUAAACUUGGGAUUGUCUGUCUGUCACUUUUGUACUGAUAUAAAACAUGGGGAGGAAGCAAGUCUGAAGAGAUGCUGCUGUUAGAAAGAGUGAUGACAGCUGACACAGACAUUAAGUUGUGCAGCUUGCACUUGAACACAGUUUUAGAUAAUUGAAUAACUAAUCUGUUAUUACCAAUAGCUUACAGCGUUUUGGCCAAUGCAUGCAUCUCGUUGCCCUAGCACCGUAACACCCUUCCUUUUACAGGGAUUUACAUUGACCAGAGCACUGUGGUGGUAGUUUGUGCCAAUAAGCUUUGAAUGAAACCAUGCUGCUACGUUCAACACAUUCCUAGCAAUAAAUCCCAGUAAAGAUAAAUAACUGUUUCCCGUUAGGAGGCUAACGGCCAUCACAUUCAGCACCCCGUACCUUUAACAGUUAAGUGUAAUCACAUCGUAUGUAUGAAAUGAGAAUCAAGUACCAGAGUGUCUAAUGAGUUUAUAUGUUUAGGAGUUGAUACUGGUUGGUUACAAGUAUUAUCAUAAUAAGUUGUUUACAAAAUGUUCUUGCCAGUCGUGGUCAAAAACCCAAAACCCACAAACUAUCCAGAUGUUUUGCCUCUAAUACGUUUAUUAAUUCUGUCAGAAAAGGGUCCUGUCAUUCUUGGUCAAUCGCUGAAAAACCACACAUUUUCCUGAUGAUUUUCCCUGCAUUAGGUUUGGCAAAAACAACUUAACAUAGCUGUAUUACUUUUCAUCUUUGGCAAGGUCUCAAAUGGUAUUUCUCAAAGCCAAGUGCACAAAUUGAACGCAGACACAAAAUGAUGGAACAAUCGAACCAUGCCGAAAAAUGUAUGUUGGCUGGUGGAUGUUGUGAUACGACUCACUAAUCCUUGAUGUGACAUCUAUUGACUCUUCCUUAAUAACUAUAAUUUAAAAAUAAUCCCCAGAUUAACAGUGGGACCUCCUGUGCUUAGCAACAUUCUUCAGCAUCCUGAUCCGGGCUGGCCUGGAACGGUUGGCCAUUAUGACACAAUACAAAGAGCUGCCCUGUACUUCAGAAAUGAUACUUAUAGGAGUUCAGAUGUGUUUGGACAUGAACGAUUCUCUCUCUGUACCUCCCUUUACAAAAUUCCCACUUUCUCUACAUCCAUUCCUCCCUCUAUUUUUCUCACUUUCUUUCUUUUGUCUUGCCUCCGCUUUUCCUCUCUAGCUCAAGCUCUGGCUGCCGUCACGUUUGAUGGAGCAUCCUUCUGAGGAUCUACUGGAACAUGAAAUAAAAUCCCAAAGAAACUGCUUUUGUUUAUUCAACCUCCACAAAAAGUCCCCAACAGAAAGUAGCAGGACGUCCAACUGAGGACAUUUUCACGCCAAACAGAUGAUUGAUGGAGAGAAUGAAGGGCCACACCUCCCACUCACCGGUAGGAGGGCGCCAUGAAGGCACCUUCCUUGGUCAGCUACUACUCUUCUUAGCCCUGGCCGGGCAGAAACAACUGCUCUCCCAUGCUGUACAGACAGUGGAACAGCGUUUGGCCAGGAGGCCAUGGUUAGAAGGAUCACAGGGACAUGAGACCCAGGAGGAUGUUAGAGUAUCGUGACUGAUCGGUUCCGGGGGACAUUUAUCGUACGUGAUGCACAGUUCGCUGGUAAGAUGAACAGGGAAUCGACGGCCGGAGCUGGACUUUAGUUGAAACGACUGGGGAGAGGAAGGUUUUUAGUGGUGCCGAGAGCAGUACAGAACCAAUCAGAGAGCAGUACUGAACCAACGAGAGGCUGACGUGUUUUGUAUCACAGGGAAAGGUCCCAGGCAAGGACUAGGAAGCACAUGGAAAGUUGUUGAAGAGCUACAAAGAUAUGAGUGGAACAGUACCAAAAUAGUAGGAAGAGCAUCAGAAAAGAAUAUGGCCUCAUUCGAGCAAUGUAGUCUCCUUGACCCCUAGGUCGUUAUCUCAAACUCAGUUAUACAAUCCUUUAUGUUUGACUUCCUGCCAUUGUCCUCAGAAACCAUUAGUUGGUGAGCUGUCUUGCAUAGACACUGCGUGUGGCACACUCAACGCAUACACACACACACGUACGCACACACACAUAUAUACACACACACGUAUACACACACACACACACACACCAUCCUUCUUCCCCCAACCUCAUAGUUGCAGGGCACAGGUGUACAGCUGUGGUGGAAUGAGCCACCCUCCUUUCCAUUCAAAAUCUUAUAUCCUGGAUGAGGAACCUGCCUAGUGCAGAAUGAACCUGGCCUCCCAGCCCUGUACCCAGGCUGGCCUAACCUCUGUGUGUCUGUCUAGACUGUAGCUGCUUCUCUAGAUAUGAGUACAGCCCAUAUACCUGGAGCAUUAAAGCCAUUGGCCUCCUCUUAGUCAUUGCUUAGUCACUGAUAGGACCUGACUUCAGUGGUACAUGGAUAGCUGAAUGUGUGGAUAAAAAUAUAGAGAUACAUUUAUAUAAUUAUACUAUAUGGUUCUGUGUGUGGAAUGACUUCAAUGGGGGGAAAAGUGACCUUAGGGUGGCGUCUGUUGAAUCACAUCGUGACAAGAUGGGUUAUCAACCUGCAUCCCAGACACACUACGUAUCAGGAAGCCAAAUGCAUUUCUCAUCCUUCUGAUCAACACAUUUUUCAGGGUUACCUCAAAACACGACUUGUUAUUAUUUUUUUACCUGUUUCACCUGAUUCAGAUGAGACUGCUAGGCAGAGAUAGAAGCAUCCUGGCCAGGUUUACGAGAAUUAGAUUCUGUGUUGGAGGAUGUUCCAAGACAUUGUAAUGUGCCACCUUCUCCUCCCGCUCCUCCUUGUGUCCUCCACGCAGGUUGUUGACCCAUCCUAAGCAUUUGUAUUUGUCUGUUGAUAAGGAAAACCUGUCUGUCCGUCGAUCACUGUCAGCCAGCGUCUCCAGAUUUGAUCUGACACAUCUGUGAAAAUGGAACACUUUCUAUUGCCUGUCUUCAAUCACUAUCCCCUCAAAAAUCGUUUUCUUCCACCCCUUCUACUGUUUCUGUUUCAUUGUCAUUCUGGCUCAGUGAUACUGUUGGUUUUGUACAGGAAGAUAGACCUCUUUAGAUUCAAGCCUACAGGUUUGAUGGCGGGUUAAACAUUUGUAUACAUAAAGUAGAUUAUCAAUAGAAAUAAAUAGAAAAAAGGGUCUGAUUGAAAUAGCUAUAUAUUUUCUUGUUUUGAGAAAGGGAAAGGUCAAAAAGAUGCAGUACAUAUUUUUUUAGACGCAUGGGUAUUUGAUGACUCAAAGUUAAAACCGAUAGGUAAGACUUUUAAAACGUAAUCAGGAAUGUUUUGAAUUUUUCACAAUAUUGACGGGAAUUGAUUCUUGAUGAAAUAUUUUUUUUUUAAUUUAUUGCUUUUAGGAAGGCCCUGGUUGAACAUGACUUUGAAAAUAUAGGUAUAUUUUGGAUGAAUUGGAAUCAGAUGUGUUGGUAGAAACAAAACAGCCAAAUGUGGUGUGUCUAAUAUUUGAUAACAAUGUAGCAUUUACGGCUAAUAAUGAUAUGGAGAGAUUUAACACAUUGGUCAGUGUACAUAUUUCCAAUUUUAACUAUGUAUAUCAUAAUAAUAACAAAGUGUUGCUAUUUUGGAGAGAAUACACAAACUGCUUGAACUAUGCAAAUAAAAAAGUUGUAAAUCAUAUGCUCGCUUUAGGAAAACCUUCUUGCAAUAAAGUGAAUGUUUACACAUAUAUAUAUACACUAUGUGUUUCUUUUAACAUACUUUCAAAAUAUCUCUGCCAUACUUUCUAAGAAAAUGGUAAUCGUAUUCACAGAUGUUGUUACUGUUGCUUUGAUCUUGUUAUGGGUGUGGAGUAUCACUGCCAAAUUAAUCAUACUACUGAGAUUGUUUACUCACCUUUCUGUCUGUUAUAUUAAUAGACAUUUACUGAGAAUAUCAUAAGGACUCUAUUACCUAUAUCAUUAGGACUUUGUUCAAUUCUAUCGUAUGUGUGUCUGGAUAAAUAAACCUGAAGAUAUCAUGCAGACUUCAACUGUCCUUUGACUGUCAGUAUUCCUUUAAAACCUUAUUUUCUGCAUUUAGGAUACAUUUGUCAGACAUAUGAUCAACAAGUUGGGUUAGAGGUCCAUGGUCAUUGACAUGGAAAUCCUUCAGAGCACUCAUUGAGAAUGCUGUGCAAUGGUCAGUGCUACUACACUUCAUAGGAAAGUUCUUCACAACCCCUAAUAAAUGACAUUUUGGUUAAUGUAAGCUAA
ensembl:lncRNA